AUUGAACGCUGGCGGCAUGCCUUACACAUGCAAGUCGAACGGCAGCACGGGAGCAAUCCUGGUGGCGAGUGGCGAACGGGUGAGUAAUAUAUCGGAACGUGCCCAGUCGUGGGGAUAACGUAGCGAAAGCUACGCUAAUACCGCAUACGAUCUACGGAUGAAAGCGGGGGAUCGCAAGACCUCGCGCGAUUGGAGCGGCCGAUAUCAGAUUAGGUAGUUGGUGAGGUAAAGGCUCACCAAGCCGACGAUCUGUAGCUGGUCUGAGAGGACGACCAGCCACACUGGGACUGAGACACGGCCCAGACUCCUACGGGAGGCAGCAGUGGGGAAUAUUGGACAAUGGGCGCAAGCCUGAUCCAGCCAUGCCGCGUGCAGGAUGACGGUCCUAUGGAUUGUAAACUGACUUUUGUACGGAACGAAACGGUG
rnacentral:rRNA from 1 species